rnacentral:rRNA from 1 species
GGUAUUCCGUUACGAACGAGACCUUAACCUGCUAACUAGUCUGCUUGUAAAUAACAGGUUGUACUUCUUAGAGGGACUAUUGUGCAAUAAGCCAAUGGAAGUUUAAGGCAAUAACAGGUCUGUGAUGCCCCUAGACGUGCUCGGCCGCACGCGCGUUACAAUGACUGGCGCAAAAAGUAUUUCCUGUCCUGGGAAGGUACGGGUAAUCUUAUUAAUACCAGUCGUGUUAGGGAUAGUUCUUUGGAAUUGUGGAUCUUGAACGAGGAAUUUCUAGUAAGUGCAAGUCAUCAGCUUGCGUUGAUUAUGUCCCUGCCGUUUGUACACACCGCCCGUCGCUUGUAGUAACGAAUGGUCUGGUGAACCUUCUGGACUGCGACAGCAAUGUUGCGGAAAAAUAAGUAAACCCUACCAUUUGGAACAACAAGAAGUCGUAACAAGGUAUCUGUAGGUGAACCUGCAGAUGGAUCAUUA